rnacentral:lncRNA from 1 species
GUCGUGCAGCUUCACUAGGGCGCCGCGGCCGUCUGCAUCAGAAGAAACAGGUUUGCUUCAUCAGCAUUCAACACAAUGCAACAGACAUUUAUUCGCCCAGUUACAGAGUACAGGGAAAAGAAAACAGAAUGAUCAAGCUCAACUUAUGGAUAUGAUCAGUUGUUUUCUGCAAAAUAAAAGAAGUUUGUUGUUGCAGUUAACAGUAAUUGAUAUAAGAGGCUGCUAAUUUCUGCCAACAACUGGAGGUCUGGAGCUAGAUACAGUUAACUAGCUAAUCCCUCUUUUUGGGUGAGCGUGACGGGGGAAUGAGAGAUGUGAUGCUUCUGGCAAGCCCGUUCCGCGACCGCCUGAAUGAUGCCAUGGCGCGGCUGCUGGGGCACGUGUCGGUCUCCGUUGCCGCGCGCUGUCCCUGCCACUGCUCGUAGUCUCGCAGCAUCACCAGCAACAGACUCAGGACUGGACUUCUUCAGUAGUCACGGGGGGACAUCGAGCGCGUGUUCGGACAGUCAGACAGGUCGUUUUUUCUGUUUCCAAACAGAGGACUGAGAUUACCGUGACUCAAUCAUGUGACUAUGUGAGCAUGUCCCUGCUGAUCGUAUCUUAUCCGUGAUAAGUAAACAGGCAAGGUUAAUUCCAAAUGGAUAUUUAUAGGCUAAGCUGGACUUCUAGAAGACACUUUUGAUUUUUUUUUUUUUUGCUUUGUCCCGAAGAAACAUGGAUGGAUGCGUUGCCAUACACCUGAAUGUUUGGCGUACGCGCCACGCACCUCCGCAUGAGGAAGUGACCCACGUAGUAAUUAAACUAUGCAUGGGUGUGACGUCGACGCAACCUACUCCUGAUC